rnacentral:lncRNA from 1 species
AUGGAAACAUCCCUGGACACGCUCAGCCUCUCCCAGCUCCUGGAUCUCUCCAUUGGGGUACCCGAGAAAGGGGCUGUUCAAUUUGCAGCCUUGAGAAAACUGCUGCAGGUCAUGCUGGAGCACCUGGACGUGCAGUACCUGACCACCGAGGAGCCGUGGCCAGGCCAGCUGAGUGGCCCCUCACUCGCUGAGUUGGCCACUGAGAUGGAACAGAUGAAGAAGGAGAUUAAAAACAACAAGGAACACAUGUCCAAGGUUUUUCUUGAGGAGUUUGAUGAGAUAAGGGCAGAACUUUCCCGCAUGUCAGAGAAUAUUAGGAAGAUCCAGAAGGCACAGGUCUGUGAAUACCACUCUGGUGGUGAUGGUCGUGUUGCCCACACUCCUCGUCUCUGAUACCACUUUCUCCUACAGUCCAGCAUGACAAAGGACAUGAAGAAGAUCCAGAAGGCACAGAAUGAGGUGAACUGCUGCCUGGCUCUGAGACAGCGGCCUGUGCCCUCAGCUCUGCCGGCUGGAUGUGUGGAGAAUGCUGCCUGCAGCCUCCCAGCCUGGCUGAGCCAGGCCCUGCGCUGUUCCCCAGUGCUCCACAAACCAUGGCAGGGCUCAAGGCCUUGCAGGUCCCCACUCACCCUCCCCAGAGACUGACUAGCACCACUCCUCUUUCCUAGGACACGAAUCUCAUGCAGGAUCUCCGUGAGGAGAUCGACAGGAUAAACAUAGCACAGACCCGCAUGGAAGGAGACGUAAAGAAGUCGAAGGAGGCCCUUGGCUUAGUGAGCUGCUGGUUUGCGUCAUCUUUGGGCUCUCAUGGGGAACUUCAAUGGGACUCCAAGAACAGCAGUUUAGGGCCAGGGUCUCAGGAAUGGGUGGGGGGCUCUGGGGUUUUCCGUGCAGCUGAAGGGCCCCCAUGCUGGGACAACAUGAUUGAUGUCUGUGCCCUGACUCUGCCAUCACUGACCUUCCCAGAUGAAGAAGAUGGGAGAAGACAUUAAAAAGCUGAGGGAGGAGACAACCAAGUGGAGAGAAGAGAGCCAUGAAGAGAUCACUCAGCAAAUUGAGUAAGAGGAUAAGAGUGGGUUUCAUACCCUGUGGGGCUGCAAGGAAGCCCAGGGGAUCUGGGAGCAUCCUGGCCUGUGGGUACAGGACAGUGCCCGAGCAGCCCUGCAGGGUAACCCUGCCCUUGCCCCCAUCUCCCUGGCCAGGGCUCUUCUGCAGGAAACAAAGCGGGAGCUGCAGCUUGAGCUGGAAGAGCAGCAGCAGCAGAUGAGGAAUGCCAUGCUGGAGCAGAUGAUGUCUGGGACAACUGGGGUAGGACUCCCACCACCCACUGGCUUGGUGCAGUACCCCUGAUUGUGUUUCCAGCCAUAUUCCCCAACUGGCUGGGGCCACCCAA